rnacentral:lncRNA from 1 species
AUAUUUAGAGAAGAGAAAAGACUGACUAGCUAAUCAAAAUCCUUCCACUAACUUCAUCAAGUCAGAUAAAAAAAGACUAGAUAUAAGUUGGUCCAACCGACUAGUCACAAAUCCUCCCACUGACUUCAUCAAGUCAUGAAGAGAACUACUGACAAGUCAAACUAGAGGCACCUAAAUCAGUCAUACUGAUUUUUUAGCUAGUAUGGGUGAAUCCUAAUCAUUAAGUGAUCUGAUCACAAUAUGAUUCACCAUAUUGGUCAGGUA